UACGAAGGGGGCAAGCGUUGUUCGGAAUUACUGGGCGUAAAGGGCUCGUAGGCGGCCAACUAAGUCAUACGUGAAAUCCCUCGGCUUAACCGGGGAACUGCGUCUGAUACUGGAUGGCUUGAGUUCGGGAGAGGGAUGCGGAAUUCCAGGUGUAGCGGUGAAAUGCGUAGAUAUCUGGAGGAACACCGGUGGCGAAGGCGGCAUCCUGGACCGGCAUUGACGCUGAGGCGCGAAAGCCAGGGGAGCGAACAGG
rnacentral:rRNA from 1 species